rnacentral:rRNA from 1 species
CGAACAUUAACGGCCCCAAUUAAAGAGGGGACUGGACAAAAACUAGAAAAUCGUCCACCGUUAACCCCACACUGGUGUGCCCUUAAGGAAAGACUAAAAGAAAGAGAAGGAACUCGGCAAACAAGCCUCGCCUGUUUACCAAAAACAUCGCCUCUUGCAAGAAUAAGAGGUCCCGCCUGCCCGGUGACAUUAUAGUUUAACGGCCGCGGUAUUUUGACCGUGCAAAGGUAGCGUAAUCACUUGUCUUUUAAAUGAAGACCUGUAUGAAUGGCAUAACGAGGGCUUAACUGUCUCCUCUUUCCAGUCAAUGAAAUUGAUCUCCCCGUGCAGAAGCGGGGAUACACUCAUAAGACGAGAAGACCCUAUGGAGCUUUAGACACUAAGAUAGACCAUGUUAAGCACCCUCAAAUAAGAGACUGAACUUAAUGAUACCCUGUCCUAAUGUCUUCGGUUGGGGCGACCAUGGGGUAAUAAAUAACCCCCAUGCGGAAUGGGAGGACUCCCACAACUAAGAGCCACAGCUCUAGCUAACAGAAUUUCUGACCAUAUAUGAUCCGGCAACGCCGAUCAACGGACCAAGUUACCCUAGGGAUAACAGCGCAAUCCCCUUUUAGAGCCCAUAUCGACAAGGGGGUUUACGACCUCGAUGUUGGAUCAGGACAUCCUAAUGGUGCAG